UACAGAGGUGCCAAGCGUUAGGCGGAAUCACUGGGCUUAAAGCGUGUGUAGGCGGAAUGGUAAGUACCUUGUGAAAUCCCACGGCUCAACCGUGGAACUGCUUGGUAUACUGCUUUUCUUGAGCCACUUAGGGGCAACCGGAACAAACGGUGGAGCGGUGAAAUGCGUAGAUAUCGUUUGGAACGCCAAUGGUGAAAACAGGUUGCUGGGAGUGUGCUGACGCUGAGACACGAAAGCCAGGGGAGCAAACGGG
rnacentral:rRNA from 1 species